UGGGGAAUUUUGGACAAUGGGGGAAACCCUGAUCCAGCCAUCCCGCGUGUGCGAUGAAGGCCUUCGGGUUGUAAAGCACUUUUCGCAGGAAAGAAACGUCAUGGGUUAAUACCCCGUGAAACUGACGGUACCUGCAGAAUAAGCACCGGCUAACUACGUGCCAGCAGCCGCGGUAAUACGUAGGGUGCAAGCGUUAAUCGGGAUUACUGGGCGUAAAGCGUGCGCAGGCGGUUCGGAAAGAAAGAUGUGAAAUCCCAGAGCUCAACUUUGGAACUGCAUUUUUAACUACCGGGCUAGAGUGUGUCAGAGGGAGGUGGAAUUCCGCGUGUAGCAGUGAAAUGCGUAGAUAUGCGGAGGAACACCGAUGGCGAAGGCAGCCUCCUGGGAUAACACUGACGCUCAUGCACGAAAGCGUGGGGAGCAAACAGG
rnacentral:rRNA from 1 species